GGCCUGAUGGCGGAGUGGUUACGCCCUGGACUGCAAAUCCAGUUAGCCGGGUUCGAUUCCCGGUCAGGCCUCCA
rnacentral:tRNA from 1 species